rnacentral:tRNA from 1 species
UCCAGGGUAGCCUAGUGGACAUGGCGUCUGCUCGGUAAGCGGAACACUGUGGGUUCGAUUCCCAUCCCUGGAC